UGAUAGGAGUUGGUACAGUGAAGGACA
rnacentral:piRNA from 1 species